rfam:Clostridium sp. W14A NODE_35, whole genome shotgun sequence.
CCCGCACUGGUUCGAGAACCUCCCAGUAUAAAAAACUAAGGAUUG